GAAGAUGUCUCCGUGGAAUAGAGGUUCCUAGACUUGUGAACCUUAGGGAGGAAGAAACAAAUGGCUCUCUCCUUGGGGAACUUUCUCACUCUUCUCCGGCACCGCUCCUGCCUUUCCAGAGAAUGGGGUCUGCUUGUUUGCAAAUCCAGAGUACCAAGUGGGUUGGGUCAACCGAUGGAUCUUUGUGGAACUCCUCUGAUAAGCCUACAGUGGUUCAAGCACCAUACAGGCAUACUGAAGACAGAAAGAAGUGUGAGUCACAGAGUGUCUUCCAAAUUUCAGACCUGUGGCAGCUUCCCAGAGGCUGGAGUAGACCAGAAGAGAAUGACUAAGGCAUGAUGUUCUGGGAGUUACAGUCCUGGCACGUAAUUGUGAAUAUGGCACAAAAUGAGGCGGUGGGUGUCCAGACUGCACCUAACAAUGGGAACCUGAGAGCAAAUGGCUGGAAGGUCAGGAAGGCAGGAGACUGUCAGUAGCAAGAGCAGGUGGGUGCAGAUUAUGUAGCCUCGAGCACCAGGCUGGGAUGAGAGAUGGGACUCCACCCCCUGUGGAGGGGCAAGGUAGAAGCAAAGCCUGGACUCAAAUCACCAAGAUUGAGGCCCAAAAACAAAGGAAGAAAGCUGAAAGUCAGUACCCAAAACAUGGGUAAAGCAGGGACCCUGGGCUCAACCUAGCAGGCAGGAACUCAGAGGGGCUGACGUCCAGGGCAGACCAGCAGCAGACCAUGUUGGGUCAUGGCCUAAGGGUUAGAGUGGCUUAAUAUGUUUUGCUGAAAGGACAGAUGGAUUUCUGUGCCAGGUUUUAAAGAGGAAGCCAGGUGUGGAGUCUGGGAGCCACGCUUGAUCUGACACUCAGGCAGUUUGUCAUCUAAUUGGAAGAACCAAAGUAUGAAUACAUAACAAAUGAGUCACCUGAGCUGUUGUUAACUGAAUAUGGGGCAAUAUUUCAAGAGUACCUGAAAGCCCUAUAUUAUGCAUUGCCUGGCUUGGGCCAAGGAGGGCAUGUGACUCUAGGAUACAAAAGAGUCCUCUGGGUUGGAGUGGUUUCUGAAGGUUUCAUGGAAGGGCAAAGGGUUAAGCUGACCCUUGAAGAGUGGA
rnacentral:lncRNA from 1 species